GCCAGGCGUGGUGGCGCAUGCCUGUAGUCCCAGCUACUCAGGAGGCUGAGGUGGGAGAGUCACUUGAACCCAGGAGACAGAGGUUGCAGUGAGCUGAGAUCACGCCACUGCACCCCAUCCUGGGUGAUGGAGUGAGACCUCAUCUUAA
ensembl:misc_RNA Metazoa_SRP Metazoan signal recognition particle RNA